CUACGGGUAUCCACACGAAGUCCUCGUACUGAUCAAUCUCUCUGGGAGUGCUAGCUCAUGAAGACACCAUCUAUUGGCUGAUUUGAGAGAAACAUGAUGGAAUUGAAGAAUAAGGAGACCCUCUCUUUUUCUUCCUGAAUCCAUGCAUCUGAUCUCUACAAUUUCUCAUGUAUAAGAGAGAACUUUUUUCUCUUUCUUUCAUGCCCUUGAGAAGAACUUUUUUUUUCUAAUUUUUUAUGAUAAAAAU
rnacentral:lncRNA from 1 species